UACGUAGGGGGCAAGCGUUGUCCGGAAUUAUUGGGCGUAAAGAGCGUGUAGGCGGUCCGGUAAGUCAGCUGUGAAAGUCAAGGGCUCAACCCUUGAAAGCCGGUUGAUACUGUCGGGCUAGAGUCCGGAAGAGGCGAGUGGAAUUCCCGGUGUAGCGGUGAAAUGCGCAGAUAUCGGGAGGAACACCAAUGGCGAAGGCAGCUCGCUGGGACGGUACUGACGCUGAGACGCGAAAGCGUGGGGAGCAAACGGG
rnacentral:rRNA from 1 species